rnacentral:rRNA from 1 species
GAGUUUGAUCGUGGCUCAGAUUGAACGCUGGCGGCAGGCUUAACACAUGCAAGUCGAGCGGAAACGAUGUAGCUUGCUACAGGCGUCGAGCGGCGGACGGGUGAGUAACGCGUAGGAAUCUGCCUAGUAGUGGGGGACAACAUGUGGAAACGCAUGCUAAUACCGCAUACGCCCUACGGGGGAAGGAGGGGAGUCUUCGGACCUUUCGUCUAUUAGAUGAGCCUGCGUAAGAUUAGCUAGUUGGUAGGGUAAAGGCCGUACCAAGGCGACGAUCUUUAACUGGUCUGAGAGGAUGGCCAGUCACACUGGGACUGAGACACGGCCCAGACUCCUACGGGAGGCAGCAGUGGGGAAUAUUGGACAAUGGGCGGCAAGCCUGAUCCAGCCAUGCCGCGUGUGUGAAGGAGGCCUUAGGGUUGUAAAGCACUUUCAGGGGUGAGGAAGGGUGUUUGGUUGAUAUCCAAACAUUUUGACGUUAGCCCCAGAAGAAGCACCGGCUAACUCUGUGCCAGCCGCCGCGGU